rnacentral:rRNA from 1 species
UACGUAGGGUGCAAGCGUUAUCCGGAAUUAUUGGGCGUAAAGAGCUCGUAGGCGGUUUGUCGCGUCUGCUGUGAAAACCUGAGGCUCAACCUCGGGCCUGCAGUGGGUACGGGCAGACUAGAGUGCGGUAGGGGAGAUUGGAAUUCCUGGUGUAGCGGUGGAAUGCGCAGAUAUCAGGAGGAACACCAGUGGCGAAGGCGGCUCACUGGACCGGAGCUGACGCUGAGGCGCGAAAGCGUGGGGAGCAAACGGG